rnacentral:lncRNA from 1 species
GUCAUGCCUAAAGCCUUUAAUGGCUAUGUUUGUUUAGUUAGCUGCGUGUUAAUUGUCUCUACUGACAGAAUGGAAUCUCCAGGAGCCAGAAUGUGGUCUGUCUCCUCCAACACCAAAUCCCCAGGCAUACAGUAGGCACUUAGAUACUUGGGGAAUGGCCACCUGACUCAAUGAACAAUAGCUAAUAGGAUAAUUUGCACACAGAGCUGUAUACAAUCAAGAAGAAGGAAGGCGGACUGAGUGACAGCUGGGUGCCUUAGCUCUUCACGAGCAAGCCCUCCUUGUUGGAGUACCGGGAAAACCUGAGCCAAGGGAGGCUGCUCUGUCACUGGGUAUCUGUCUGAAUAGCCCCCACGAACCCCACCCACCAUGGGGUCCAAGCCAAGCCAGGGAACCUGCCUAGAUCCUGAGUUAAGCCGCACAACCAGCCAACAGUGUAGAAGGGAAGCUGAACUUCCCUCAGAAGAGGUUGUGAUUCAUGGACCCAGCAGCCAGGAGAUGUGCAUGUGUACAUGGCCAGAGAACAGGUCAGCGUUAGCUUCCGUGGCACCAGCUGAGCCUGGCAUGAGGAAGUUCAGGAGUAGGACAGUUUGGAGCUUUUAAUAUCAGAGGGGCUCCGUUCCCACCGACCCACUGUGGAAUAUCUCCUGAUGUCGGGGUUCUCCUGUUGAGAACCCCCUCUGCCUGCAAGCUCUCUUUCCCACAGUUUUCCCCUUGUUUAUUUGUCUAGGUCACUUCUACCCACUGUACUUCCAUCUAGGCCAGGAACAGUGGCUUUGUCCCCUCCCUGUAACAGCGCCAAGCACAGUGCCAGGCUUCUGUAAGGUGCCCACUGCCUGUUGUUGGCAGAAUGAAUCGCAUCAGAACAGUUACACCACGUGCCAGGGGUUCUCAGUUCUGCAGUCGCUCAGGCUUUGGUCUUUGAAGAACAGGCCGCUUUGUGCCUCGCCCUGUGGGUGCUUCAAAUAGCAGCCAGUGAGGCAGGAAGACAGCUGGCUCUGGAACCAGCCCCUCGGGUGACGCUGAGCCUCAAUUUCCUGAGCACUGAAAGGGGGUGAAUAAUAGCUCCUACCUCAUCGGAGUUUCCUGGGGAUUGAGUCAAAGAAUUUAAAAUACUCAACACAGUGCAGGGAAUAUAGGAAGUUUGGCAACUUUAGCUUUGCUUGUGUUAUGUUUUGUAGUUAUUAGUUUUUGUCCACUAUUCUGUUCCCACUUUUGGGGGGGUGGGGGGAGUACGGGAAUUGAACGCAGGGGCACUCCACCACUGAGCCACAUCCCCAGCCCUAUUUUUCAUUUUAGAGACAGAGUCUCACUGAGUUGCUUAGCAUCUCACUUUUUGCUGAGGCUGGCUUUGAACUCACAAUCUUCCUGUCUCAGCCUCCCAAGCUACUGGGAUGACAGGCCUGUACCACCACGCCCGGCCCGGCCACUCUGUUACCACUUUCUACUUGAUCAAUGCAUAGACUGCUUCACCUAAUCUUUCUCUUUCUCCAGUACUGGGGAUUUAACCCAGGGUCAUUUUACCACUGAACCACUCCCCCAGCACUUUUUAUUUUUUAUGUUGAGACAGGGUCUCAGUAAAUUGCUUAGGGCCUUGCUAAGUUGCUGAGGUUGGUCUCAAACACUUGUGGUUCUCCUGCUUCAGCCUCCUGAGCCACUGGAAUUACAGGUGUGUGCCACUGUGCCCAGCUCAUCUUUAUGAACUUGAAUAUUUUCCACUGUAGACUGCAAAAAAAAAGAGAAGGAGAGAGAGAAGGAAAGAAAGAAGGAAAAAGAAAAAGAGAGAGAGAGAGAGAGAGAGAGAGAGAAAGAAAGAAAGAGCAGCUUCGCAGCGGGGCCUGGCUCCCCACACAGCCACAGAGGAAGAGGUUUGCAGAAGGCGCACUUAGACAUCACUUCCCUUAGCAGAUGCCCUUCCCCCCAGCUCUCCUCCUUUCCCUUUGCUUUAACUAGGUGUUUCCAGGACUGAAAAGGCAGACAUGAAAACUGCCCUCUUGUUGACUGCUGAGAGUCUAACCUGUUACUCUUUGCUCACAUUUACAUUUGGCUAACAAUCGUUUUCCAGACGUGGGUCAUUCUUGACUCCUCAGUCUAGAGGGCAUGUUUCUAAAUGUCUAGAUGUGAUUGGUACAUAAACAGACAUGCUCAUAUCUUUUGAAUUACUUUUUUAAAUGAAAAAGGCAUAAACUAGACUUUAGAACAGUAAUAUUUCCAGUAUUUCAGUGUAUUGAUAAUAUUGAACGGAAAAAGAAAGUCAUCUGUGAGUCAGGAUAAAUGAUUAAAUUAGGAUUUGUGCUAAGAUAAGCCAGUCUUGUAUAUCAUCAUGAUAGUAAUUUAAAAAGCACACACGAGAGAUCUAUCCAUCUUGCCUGCCAGGUGCCAGAAUUCCCACUACUUGUGCAUUCAAAUUAUGCAUUUAACAAAUUUGCAUCAAGUGUUGUCCAAGCCCUGGGCACCACAAUAGCCGCUGAGAAACCCAGAUGUUAAUAGACAUUAUCCCUACCCCUAAAGAAAGUUUCCUCCUAAUGAAUUCACAGAUAAACCAGCAGGUGGAGUGUUGUUGAGUGAGAUCAGCUCCGUGUGAAGACUGUACAAGGGCCGAGGAAGAAGGGAGGAGCCUCAGCCCACCCGAGGGCAGGCCUCACAACAGGGUAAUUCUUGAGGAGAAGCCUGAGGGAUAAAUAGAAGAUUGACAGAGAAUGGUGAGGUAGGAGAGCGCAGGGGGCAGGGCUCACACAGAGGAAACAGGGCUGAGGCCAGCCCCUGUGGUGCGCUUGGAAUAGAGACCUCCGCUGAAAGAGUUGUGCAGAACCAGUGCAGGAGGUGGUCUGCUCAGGGGUCUGGGCAGGGAGGUGUGCCAUGUCAUGGAGGAGGGAUUUUGACUUGGGGAAACCAUUAAAAAUUCUUACACAAGGAAAAACCCUACUACAGAAUAGACUCUUAAAAGGAAGUACAAAUAUUUGAAAUGUUGAGAAAAAAACCUGUCUUAUAUACUUGUGAUAUGACUAGGAAACUCAAGUGAAUUAAGUAGAAACUACUAGAACUAAAUAAGAACUGCAUGAGGUGGCUGGACCCAAGAUAAAUAUAAAAACCAAAAGCUUUCCCACAUGCUAGCAAUAAGCUAUUAAAAAACUUAGUGAGGAGCUGGGGUUGUGGCUCAGUGGUAGAGCACUUGCCUAGCACGUGUGAGGCAAGAGUUCAAUCCUCAGCACCACAUAAAAAUAAAAUAAAUAUAUUGUGUCCACCUUAAAAAAAAACAGUAAAAAAGAUAAUGGAACAAAACAGGAACAUUAAAAGAAAUGCCUUGUUUUUGGAUAAGAAGAUGCAAUGUUAUAAAGCCUUCUGUUCUCCCCAACUUAGUCUAGUAAUUCAGUGAACCUGCAACCCUAAUCCUAUAAUGUUCAUAUUUGUGUAUUGAUUGAUUGAUUGACUUAGUUCCGGGGAUCAGUCCCCGGGCCUCAAGAGUGCUAGGCAAGUGCUCUAACCCUGAGCUACAUCUCUAACUUCCUACAGUGUUUUUAAAAAUUAGCUCAUUCUAAAAUUCAACUGUAAUUGUGAUUGCAUGAGGAUAGCCAAGAAGUUUUUGUAAAAUGAAGCAAAUAGUAAGGAACAACUUGCCCUAAGAAUAUCAAAUGCAUUAUACUAUUUUUAAAAAUAUUUUUCUAGUUGUCAAUGGACCUUUAAUUUAUUUAUUUUUUAUUUAUAUGUGGUGCUGAGAAUCAAACCCAGUGUCUCACACAUGCUAGGCAAGCACUCUACCACUGAGCCACAACCCCAGCUGCUCAAAUGUACUAUACUCUUACCAAGAAAUGUGUAAAUAAUAUAAAUUAAAGCUUUAAAAUAUAUUUUAGCAAAUAUAAAAUUACUUAUGGGACUUGGUUGAUAUUGCUAAUUUAUAUUAAGAAACAAAAUAUGUUGUACACCAAAGUCCAUAGGUUAGAAAUACUAGAAAUGACACUGUGGGAACAAUUGUUGGAACAGACAGCUUGUUACAGAAGCAGGCAUGGAUACAGAGGUUGUAUUGAUUUUUAAGAAUCAAUGUCCAGGGAAGAAGAAGCAGGAUUGCCCAGAGGGAAGCCACCCUGCGGUGCAGGUCUGACCAGCCCUUGCCUGUAGGAGUUCCAGGAUGCAUACAGCCAUCAGAGAUGUCAACAUGGUGAUCAUUCAUGAGAUGGAGUUAAAAUCACAGCAAGCUGGGACCACAUACCCACCAGAAUAGCUAUAAUCAAAAAGGCCGACAGUACCAAGGUGGCCGAGAAUGUAGAUUAAUGGUGACAUUCAUGUGCUGAUGGUGGAAAUGUGAACUGCUUCAGCCACUUAGGUAACUGGCUGGCUGCAUCCGCUGAUGUAUGACCCAGAAGUUCCACUUCUCAGUAUAUACACAGACAGCCUUGUACACGCUGACCAAGAGAUGUGUACAAGACUGUUCAUAACAGCAUUAUUUGGAAUAGUCCCCAAAUGCCCACCAACAGUAGAACGGAACAUGGAUUAUGGUAUAUUCGUGCAUGUGCUAAAUUCAUGGAAUAUUACAGCAAAGAACGCUACCACAGGAAGCGACAGAGAUGAACCCCCUAAAUGUAGUGUUGAACACGGGAAGCUGGACAUAAAAAAAAAUGUUGUGAAAUUCUGCUUUCAUAAAAUUCAAAAGUUGACAAGCCAUUCCAAGGUGACAGCCAUGAAGUAGCAGUCCAUUGGGGGUAAUUGCGGAAGGUGGCCCCAGGGCUGUUGGCCAUGCUCAUUUCUUGAGCUGACAGUGCUCAUUCAUGCGCUUUCCCCUCCUCAAACAGCCUUGGAGCGUGCACUUGAUCCGUGUUCUUUCCUGUGUGUAUGUUUGUGUUUCUCCCUAAUAAAUUGUCCCCAGGCUUAGUGACCUAAAACCAC